rnacentral:rRNA from 1 species
GAGACGGCUCAUAGUUCUAAGGAAGGCAGCAGGCGCGGAAAUUGCCCAAUGUACCGUUGUGUACGAGGCAGUGACGAGGCGUCGUGAGUCACUUAGGUGACAUUACGAUGAGUGAGGUGUACAGACCCUCGCAAAUGCAAGUCGUGGGAAAGCAUGGUGCCAGCAGCCGCGGUAAUUCCAUCAUGACUAACUCAUUCUUACGGUGCUGCGGUUAAAGCGUCCGUAGCUGGCGACCUGCCGACUCGAGGAACUCUCGACGCCCAACGUAGCGAGCGCGGUGAGCUGCAGCGAGUUACGGCAACAACAACUAUCGCUAUAGGACAGGGGAAGGCUCCUUCUAUUAUAGGGGGACAGGUGAAAUAGGAUGAUGCCUAUAGGAGGAACAAGUGCGCAGGCACUGAGUCGUCCCCGGUUCGUUGGUCAAGGGCGUUAUCGUGGGGCUAGACGAUGAUUAGAGACCGUUUUACUCCACGUCGUAAACGAUGCUACCUCGCUGUG